rnacentral:rRNA from 1 species
CUAGUAACUGCGAGUGAAGCGGGAARAGCUCAAAUUUAAAAUCUGGGKUCUUUGGCCAUCCGAGUUGUAAUUUAGAGAAGCGUCUUCCGCGCUGGACCGUGCACAAGUCUCCUGRAAUGGAGCGUCAUAGAGGGUGAGAAUCCCGUCUUUGGCACGGACGCACCAGGGCUUUUGUGAUGCGCUCUCGAAGAGUCGAGUUGUUUGGGAAUGCAGCUCAAAAUGGGUGGUGAACUCCAUCUAAAGCUAAAUAUUGGCGAGAGACCGAUAGCGAACAAGUACCGUGAGGGAAAGAUGAAAAGCACUUUGGAAAGAGAGUGAAACAGUACGUGAAAUUGUUGAAAGGGAAACGCUUGAAGUCAGUCGCGUCGACCGAGACUCAGCCUCGCCUCGGCUUGGUGUACUUCUCGGGCGACGGGUCAGCAUCAAUUUUGCCCCUUGGAUAAUGGCGAGGGAAAUGUGACACCUUUAUGGUGUGUUAUAGUCUCUCGUCGCAUGCGAGGGUCGGGAUUGAGGAACUCAGCACGCGCCUUUGGGCGUCGGGGUUUUUGCCCACGAUACGUGCUUAGGAUGUUGGCGUAAUGGCUUUAAACGACCCGUCUUGAAACACGGACCAAGGAGUCUAACAUGCCCGCGAGUGUUCGGGUGGAAAACCCGUGCGCGCAAUGAAAGUGAAAGUUGGGACCUCCGUCGUGGAGGGCACCGACGCCCGGACCAGACCUUCUGUGACGGCUCUGCGGUAGAGCGUGUAUGUUAGGACCCGAAAGAUGGUGAACUAUGCCUGAAUAGGGUGAAGCCAGAGGAAACUCUGGUGGAGGCUCGUAGCGAUUCUGACGUGCAAAUCGAUCGUCAA